rnacentral:rRNA from 1 species
AUUGAACGCUGGCGGCAGGCCUAACACAUGCAAGUCGAACGGUAGCACAGAGAGCUUGCUCUCGGGUGACGAGUGGCGGACGGGUGAGUAAUGUCUGGGAAACUGCCCGAUGGAGGGGGAUAACUACUGGAAACGGUAGCUAAUACCGCAUAACGUCGCAAGACCAAAGUGGGGGACCUUCGGGCCUCACAACAUCGGACGUGCCCAGAUGGGAUUAGCUAGGAGGUGGGGUAAUGGCUCACCUAGGCGACGAUCCCUAGCUGGUCUGAGAGGAUGACCAGCCACACUGGAACUAGGACACGGUCCAGACUCCUACGGGAGGCAGCAGUGGGGAAUAUUGCACAAUGGGCGCAAGCCUGAUGCAGCCAUGCCGCGUGUGUGAAGAAGGCCUUCGGGUUGUAAAGCACUUUCAGCGGGGAGGAAGGCGUUAAGGUUAAUAACCUUGUCGAUUGACGUUACCCGCAGAAGAAGCACCGGCUAACUACGUGCCAGCCGCCGCAGUAA